rnacentral:lncRNA from 1 species
CUAAUGCCUCGUUCACACGUACCUUUAAUUCGAAUUGAAUUCGAAUCGAAUGCGAAUCAAAUUCGCUAAUCGCGUUCACACACUCUUCUUUUUUAAUUCGAAUUGAUUCGAAUUGGCUAAUUCGAAUUAACUAAUUCGCAUUAGAAAUACGUUUUUGUUAAUCCGAAUUAAAAGUUAACGUCGUUAGGACAGUAAAGCGAAUUUGACGCGCAUUCCAAUUCGAAUUAGAAUUGACGUUAGGACGUUAAACGUUUCGAAUGCGAAUUAAACUAAUUCGAAUUAGUUAA